AAUAGAACAACCCACGUACGCACGUCCCACCGCCCACUCCCCUUCGCCAAAUCCAUCUCCCUUGAUCCCCAUCCAUUCCUUCCCAUCUGUCUCGAUCCCACCGCCCCCACACCCCGGAGGAGAGGCAGCGACCGACGGGAUACGACGUCGAUGCUGGUGGCGUGAGGACGGCCCAAGCACCACCACGACGGCAGCUCGCCGCUACGGUGGUAUGUACUGGCGUCCCAUCUCCAACUCCAAGAUAUGGCACUGGCUUCUUGGCGAUGGAGGAUCGGCAUCCUGCACCACGAGAGCAGAUUGGGUGUUGCUAUGCCCGAUUCCAUUGCUGGAUUGCUUGUGCUCUCCACGGCCACUGGAGUGGGUAGCGGAUCUUUGGUGUCUGCGCCAUAUGCUGCUGGAUGGCACAAGAGGUGUUCAAGUGAGUGAAUGACAUGUACGCCGUGGCGGCACAACCCUGUUUCAGGGAGAAAAGGACUGAGGCCCUAUAGGGGGUGGCUUUUUUAUACAGUUUGGAGAAGACCCUUCUGUUAAAGAAGGUUAUGAUGGUAUAGAGCACUCCGGAAACAUACCAGCCGCCAACAUGAUUUGAUUGUCCAGUAUAUUUGAUGCUGCAAAAUCUGAAAGCUGCAAAUAUACGUGGUGAAAUAAAUUAUAUUCCAUGGCCAUUGAAUUCGAUAAUUAUACAGGUUUCAUCUUUUGACUCAAACAUGUAGGGGUUCAAGAAUGUUUUUUUUCUAGAUUAAUUAGUACAUAUAUUUUUUGAAAGCAUUAGGUUUUUUGACUGUUAGAAAGUAGAUAUGAAGGAAUAUUUGUGGGUAGUUCAAUGCGUUCCGAUUGUAAGACUAAACUAUAUACCAUCUACAUAUCUUUAUUUAAACAAAUAAAUGCAUUCGGAU